UACGUAGGGUGCGAGCGUUAAUCGGAAUUACUGGGCGUAAAGCGGGCGCAGACGGUUACUUAAGCAGGAUGUGAAAUCCCCGGGCUCAACCUGGGAACUGCGUUCUGAACUGGGUGACUAGAGUGUGUCAGAGGGAGGUAGAAUUCCACGUGUAGCAGUGAAAUGCGUAGAGAUGUGGAGGAAUACCGAUGGCGAAGGCAGCCUCCUGGGAUAACACUGACGUUCAUGCCCGAAAGCGUGGGUAGCAAACAGGAUUAGAUACCCUGGUAGUCCACGCCCUAAACGAUGUCGAUUAGCUGUUGGGCAGCAUGACUGCUUAGUAGCGAAGCUAACGCGUGAAAUCGACCGCCUGGGGAGUACGGUCGCAAGAUUAAAACUC
rnacentral:rRNA from 1 species